rnacentral:tRNA from 1 species
GCGCCUGUGGCGGAAUUGGAAGACGCGGGUGAUUUAGGCUCAUCAGCCGUAAGGCGUGGGGGUUCGACUCCCUCCAGGCGCA